AGAUGAAGAACGCAGCAAAAUGCGAUAAGUAAUGUGAAUUGCAGAAUUCAGUGAAUCAUCGAAUCUUUGAACGCACAUUGCGCCCGCCAGUAUUCUGGCGGGCAUGCCUGUUCGAGCGUCAUUUCAACCCUCAAGCCCUCGGGUUUGGUGUUGGGGAUCGGCGAGCCUUUCUGGCAAGCCGGCCCCGAAAUCUAGAGGCGGUCUCGCUGCAGCCUCCAUUGCGUAGUAGUAAAACCCUCGCAACUGGAACGCGGCGCGGCCAAGCCGUUAAACCCCCAACUUCUGAAUGUUGACCUCGGAUCAGGUAGGAAUACCCGCUGAACUUAAGCAUAUCAAUAAGCGGAGGA
rnacentral:misc_RNA from 1 species